UGUUGGCGCCGUCUCAGGAGACAUCCUUCUGGCUGUUUCCCGUGCCUUUCAAUUACUACAGGACUGCAGGAAUAUGUGGAAGCUGUCUCUUCAACACUUCAUCAAAACACGAUCAAUAAUCAGCAUGGAUGAAAUUAAUAAGCAGUUGAUAUUUACAACAGAAGACAGUGGGAAAGAAAAUAAGACCCCCUCCUCUGAUGCACAGGAUAAGCAAUUUGGUACUUGGAGACUGAAAGUCACACCUGUUGAUUAUCUUCUGGGAGUGGCUGAUUUAACUGGAGAGUUGAUGCGUAUGUGUAUUAACAGUGUGGGGAAUGGGGAUAUCAACACCCCCUUUGAAGUGAGCCAGUUUUCAUGUCAGGUUUAUGAUGGGUUUUCAUUCAUUGGCAACACUGGACCGUACGAGGUUUCUAAGAAGUUGUAUACCUUGAAACAAAGUCUGGCCAAAGUGGAGAAUGCUUUUUAUGCCUUGAAAGUCAGAGGUUCAGAAAUUCCAAGACAUAUGCUAGCAGAUGUAUUUUCAGUUAAAACAGAGAUGAUUGAUCAAGAAGAAGGCAUUUCUUAGAAUCACAUUACUGUUGUUAUUCUCUUGAGAACUCCUAAGAAAGACCAAUUUUUAAGACUGUUAUCUAGUAUUUCGUUUGACUUUAUUGUGGCUUUUACAUAGAAACAUUUUUAGUUGUACUUGUUUUAAAUUGUAUACAAGCUGUACAUAAAAUUAUCCAAACGAAUCAUUUCUUAUAUCUUAGUCAUGAAAGUUUGUGUACAAAUGUUUGCAUAUAUGCCUGUUUGCAUUUUUGCUGGUUAACCUUCUUCAUUUAUCUUUGCAAUGUGAACAUGUUUUAGAGUGCACUUUCCGCCAUGCCUAUUUUAAUUUACUUUGUAUGAAUUUUGGAAUGGUAAUUUUUAGUGGAAGCCAUUUGUAAUUUAAGUUGGCGAUUUAUUGUAUAU